rnacentral:lncRNA from 1 species
AAAAAUUUUGAUCACAAACUUAUGGCCCUGGUUUAUGGAAGACUCGGAUGCAGAUCUCAGGUCAGAUGUUCUGAUUUGGAGCAAGGAUUGAGCCUUGGUUCUUCCUGCCACAGGCGGAUCCUCUCAGCAGCACUGAAACACUGUGGCUGGGUUGGGAGUGCUGCUGCCCAAGAAGUAUCAACUGUUUCCAAGUGUGAGAGCAGGAGGCACCUUUGAAGGCCAGGAGGGGGGACUCAGCGCAGCAGGUUAGUACUUCUCCCCCCGCAUGCACAUUCCCAAGGGGCUUGGGCUUGGAGCGAGUCCGGGAGGGAGGAGGAGGCACUUACCCGCCAAGCACAGGCAACCCAGCACCCACUAAGGGAGGCAAUGUAAUGAAGAGCAGAACUUGCUGUCUGGGGGUUUCACAAUUGGUUUGCAAAAUGGCUGUGAUUUUGCAUGAUGGCCCUACUAAACCAGAUAAAACUGCCCUUAGUGUUGCUGUAGGUUGAGAAGCAUUUUAAAGCUGUUGAGUUUCCAUGGCUGCUUUUCGCUUCUUAGCCUAGGGAAACGCAGAAGAUGAGAUGCUGCAAGGAGGUGUCCUGUGCCUAGGAGAGAAAGGAUGGGUACUACAAGGAGCCURGCCCAGAAGUGCCCCAGAGGGGCAAGGUCCUGCAGGAAUGACAGCUUAUUACAUUAUCUUUUCUGCUCAGUGGGGUGAACAAGCAGUCUUUCAAGAAAGCAGAGUGUAGGGACAUGGCCAGUCAGUUUUGCAAAGUGUUAUUGCUACCCUAAUUUAAAACAUUUAAUGAUUACCCAUCACUGUUCAAAAUGCAAGUAUCUCUGAAGUAUUAUUGAAGAAAUUGAAUGACAUAGAGCCAAAAUGCUUGGCAUUGCCAAAGAGGGAGAAUAAAAGCUUAUCAAACACCUAUUAGUAUUUCUAU